AUGCGCACUGGAGUGAAAAUACAGAAGUUGGUGCCCUUUGCAGCAGCCAGGAGUCCGACUCCUCCUCUUCCUGUGUGGAACCUGGAAUUCAAACGGCUGGGGCCUCACUCACGGCAUAUGGAACUAACCACGCCCCUAACUAAGAAGGCACACCUUAGUUGCAGUUAGCACACAAUUAAAGCAACUCUCCAAGUUUUACCUUAAAGUUCAAAAUUGCUAGGAGUUGAAACUACUAGAAAUAUAUUUACAUGCAAGAGUCAAAGAAACUUUGAACUAUUUAUGGCCUUUAAUAAUUAAGUAAGGUAUACUCCUGUGAUCAAGACUUGGAGCAUAUUUGUUUCUCUCUGCCUGGUUCCUCUAGAAAUUGGAAACUAUCAGAACAGAGACCAACUCCGUUUCCCGAUCCCUUUGCAAUCUGCAUUGAACCAUGAGUCAAGUUCUUGAUAAAGGAGUGAAAAUGGUAAGUCUAAAGCAAUGAAAAGCUGCUGUAUUGACUACACAUGCCUUCAUUUCUUCUACCCUGCUUCUUUCAUGCCUGCUUAUCUGAAUGACACCAGGAUGACAUUUAAGGCACAUCUGAAGAUGGGGAAACCACAGCACAGAAUAAGGCUGGGCCCUUGAAUCAAUAAAUGAAGGAGAACUACUCAAGAGAACAAAACCACCAGCAAUAUCCACCUGUAUUUGUCUUUUCAUAAUGUGUGACACAUGUGCUCAUGGAUUAUUGUCCGAAGCAAGACAUGUGACCAAGCCUAACAUCAACUGGGUGAAGAGCUAUAUGUUCCUUUCUCAAGAGGCACUACAAGUGACAUGCCACUGGGCAGUUUAGCAAAAGCUGGAGGUGCCUUGACAUUUGCAGUACACUGAAACAGUGGCUGGCUUGAAAAAUCCCAAAACGAUUUUCUGCAGGAGAGCCCUUUUGACUAAUAUGAGAAUAUUUAUGUGUGAAUCAACUAGAGGAAUGAACAUCACCUAAAGACAAAACAGGAUCUUUGUAUACAUCUUCUGGGAAGGAGUUGUUAUCAUUUCCACAAGGCCAAUUGCAUCAUUCGGAUAAAAACAUUAUAUUGUUGUCUUUAUUUGGAAGUAAAAUAUAUUUUAAAGA
rnacentral:lncRNA from 1 species